CCUACGGGAGGCUGCAGCAAGGAAUCUUCCCCAAUGGGCUCACGCCUGAGGGAGCAACGCCGCGUGGAGGACGACGGCCUUCGGGUUGUAAACUCCUUUUCUGGGGGAUGAUACGGACAGUACCCCAGGAAUCAGCCCCGGCUAACUCUGUGCCAGCAGCCGCGGUAAGACAGAGGGGGCAAGCGUUGUCCGGAUUUACUGGGCGUACAGCGCGCGCAGGCGGCAGCGUAUGUGCCAUAUGACAGCUGGCGGCUCAACCGCCAGUGGUUAUGGUACACAGCGGUGCUGGAGGCUUGGAGAGGGUAGUGGAAUUCCCGGUGGAGCGGUGAAAUGCGUAGAGAUCGGGAGGAACACCAGUGGUGCAGACGGCUACCUGGCCAAGACCUGACGCUGAGGCGCGAUAGCGUGGGGAGCAAACGGGAUUAGAUACCCGAGUAGUC
rnacentral:rRNA from 1 species